rnacentral:snoRNA from 1 species
CCGUCUCAUGCCUCGCUCGAUCUGCAGCACCAAUCUGCAGACCUUGAGCUGGAUGCACUCUUGGUGUAAGAGACAAGAACAACCUUCGACGAUCUUUGAGUACGGGCGCGCCGGAACUUGUUCAGCGGCGAACUCGUAAUUUAUCUGUCGGUACAUUC